UACGUAGGGUGCAAGCGUUGUCCGGAAUUAUUGGGCGUAAAGAGCUCGUAGGCGGUUUGUCGCGUCGAAUGUGAAAACCCGGGGCUCAACCCCGGGCCUGCAUUCGAUACGGGCAGACUAGAGUUCGGUAGGGGAGUCUGGAAUUCCUGGUGUAGCGGUGAAAUGCGCAGAUAUCAGGAGGAACACCGGUGGCGAAGGCGGGACUGUGGGCCGAUACUGACGCUGAGGAGCGAAAGCGUGGGGAGCAAACAGG
rnacentral:rRNA from 1 species